CCUGCGGAGGGAUCAUU
rnacentral:rRNA from 55 species